GACGAACGCUGGCGGCGUGCUUAACACAUGCAAGUCGAACGAAGAGCGACGGAAGCUUGCUUCUAUCAAUCUUAGUGGCGAACGGGUGAGUAACGCGUAAUCAACCUGCCCUUCAGAGGGGGACAACAGUUGGAAACGACUGCUAAUACCGCAUACGAUCUAACCUCGGCAUCGAGGAUAGAUGAAAGGUGGCCUCUACAUGUAAGCUAUCACUGAAGGAGGGAAUUGCGUCUGAUUAGCUAGUUGGAGGGGUAACGGCCCACCAAGGCGAUGAUCAGUAGCCGGUCUGAGAGGAUGAACGGCCACAUUGGGACUGAGACACGGCCCAGACUCCUACGGGAGGCAGCAGUGGGGAAUCUUCCGCAAUGGACGAAAGUCUGACGGAGCAACGCCGCGUGAGUGAUGACGGCCUUCGGGUUGUAAAGCUCUGUUAAUCGGGACGAAAGGCCUUCUUGCGAAUAGUGAGAAGGAUUGACGGUACCGGAAUAGAAAGCCACGGCUAACUACGUG
rnacentral:rRNA from 1 species